GCCGGCAUGGCGAAAUGGUAAACGCAGCGGACUUAAAAUCCGCUGGCCCGCGAGGGUCUUGCGGGUUCGAGUCCCGCUGCCGGUA
rnacentral:tRNA from 1 species